AGCAGGCAGGGAUGAUCCCUCCAUUUUCCUGAGAUAAUCCUUAGGUGUAGAAAUAGAUGCAGUAGAUUAACAGCCUCGUAUAGAAAACUCCAUAUGUAUGGCUCUUGAUCCUGCAAAGAAACCACAUGUGGAAGUCUGUUUACUCAUACAGCUCUCCUUUCCUGAACCUGGGCACCUAUGUGCUAAGAUGGACUUUUAUAUAGCCUAUUGAUUUUUUUUAAAAAAAGGAAUAAAUAUCAAGAAAGUAGAUACAGGAUUAUAAAGUGACAAUAAAUGACAAUGACAAGUUUCUACAGUGAUUUAAUAAUUGGUUUUUAUAUAAUAAAUUAAACAUAAGAGACAGAUUUAUAGAUGUACAAAUCUUAUACUGCCAAUUAAUAAAUGCUUUCCAAUUCUGAACAA